rnacentral:lncRNA from 1 species
AUGCAUUAUCUUAAUCAUUACAUCAGCCCUUUGAGGUAGGCAGAAUUAUGAUCUCUACUUCAUAGGUGAGGAAAAGGGGAUAAUAACGUAUCUGAUAUUUGUUGCUUGCUGUCUGUGUCAGCCUCUAUCCUAGACUGAUAACAUGAAAGACUAGGAUGAGGUAUUAAGGUCGUCUGUGAAGUAGAGUAGAUGUUUGAGAGAGAAUGUGUGUGGGUGAUGGAGAAUUACUCCAUUUGUUCUAUAGUCGAGUAUAAUGUUAUCUAAUAUUGCUGUUAUUUCUUAAGUCCUCUUGAGUAAGUACUCUACUAUUUCACUAGCUUACUUUACAAUACUAGACAUUUGCCUGGUUACAGAUAAUUUUCCUCAGUUUGGGUCUACUUUGGGACUAAUCAACUCCCAGAAAAUAAAUUCUUUACUGCUGACUGCCUGAAAUACACAUGUGGCCUUUUGCACAGCUAUACUAAAUAUUGUGAGGCCCAGUGAUCCAUUUGUAGCUAGCUGAGCUGAAACGUCGUAGGGCUUGGCUUCCAUAGCGUAAUUGAUGUUUGCUGUAUCCCUUUCUGUGGUGUUCUUGUCAGGUGCUUAGUUUCUAGUUUCUACUCAUUAUGUGUUGUUUUGUUUUGUUAUUUUUUUAUUUUAUUUUAUUUUUUUUGAGGUGGAGUCUCGCUCUGUCUCCCAGGCUGGAGUGUAGUUGCGCGAUGUCCGCUCACUGCAAGCUCCGUCUCCCAGGUUCAUGCCAUUCUCCUGCCUCAGCCUCCUGAGUAGGAUUACAGGCGCACACCACCAUGCCCGGCUAAUUUUUGUAUUUUUAGUAGAGACGAGGUUUCACCAUGUUGGCCAGGCUGGCCUUGAACUCCUGACCUCAGGUGAUCCACCUGCCUCAGCCUCCCAAAGUG